GUAGGGAAUAUUAGAAAUGGACGAAAGUCUGAUCUAGCAACACCGCGUGUGCGAAGAAGGCCUUCGGGUCGUAAAGCACUUUUUGGAAGGAAUAGGAAGGAAUGUACUUCCAGAAUAAGUCUCGGCUAACUACGUGCCAGCAGCCGCGGUAACACGUAGGAGGCAAACGUUAUCCGGAUUUACUGGGCGUAAAGCGCGUGUAGGUGGUACUGUAAGUAGGGCGUGAAAGCUCCUGGCUCAACUGGGAGAGGCCGUUCUAAACUACAGAACUAGAGGAUUGUAGAGGGGGGUGGAAUUCCAGGUGUAGCGGUGGAAUGCGCAGAUAUCUGGAGGAACACCGGUGGCGAAGGCGGCCUCCUGGACCAUUCCUGACACUCAGACGCGAAAGCUAGGGUAGCAAACGGGAUUAGAAACCCUUGUAGUCC
rnacentral:rRNA from 1 species